GCCCGCAUAGCUCAGUGGUAGAGCGCGUCACGAUUCACCGCGUCACUAGUUACCCUUGAAUCUCAAGAUUCGACAUGACGAGGUCUUCAGUUCGACUCUGGAUGUGGGAA